rnacentral:misc_RNA from 1 species
GAUGAAGAACGUAGCGAAAUGCGAUAAGUGAUGUGAAUUGCAGAAUUCAGUGAAUCAUCGAAUCUUUGAACGCACAUUGCGCCCCCUGGAAUUCCGGGGGGCAUGCCUGUUCGAGCGUCUCAGGGACGAACCCUCGCGCGGGUGUACGCGCGGUCGUGGCUGCGGUGGCGUGCCCGAGGCGGCGGCCACCGCGCUGGAAUCCAUGGGCGGACGCCUGCCGCGUGGCCGAGCGUGAUAUGACGCAUUGGCGCUCGCACGCGGAGAGGCUGCCAGCCCUGGCCCGUCUGUCGGGCGGGGGAGAGCAAGACACGUGAACUCCUCGAAUCAGGUAGGGAUACCCGCUGAACUUAAGCAUAUCAAUAAGCGGAGGA